UCAAGCGACUAAGUGUAUGUGGUGGAUGCCUUGGCGAUCACAGGCGAUGAAGGACGUGACAGCCUGCGAAAAGCUGUGGGGAGUUGGCAAAUAAGCUUUGAUCCACAGAUGUCCGAAUGAGGGAACUCACCUGCUUUGCAGGUAUCCCAUCCUGAAUAUAUAGGGAUGGGAGGCGAACGAAGCGAACUGAAACAUCUAAGUAGCUUCAGGAAAAGAAAUCAACCGAGAUUCCGAAAGUAGCGGCGAGCGAAAUCGGAUCAGCCCAGCACUCGAUAGCAGCCAACUUACGGGAACGGUCUGGAAAGUCCGGCCAUAGAGGGUGAUAGCCCCUUACUGGAAAAGGCAGCUGUGGUACUAAGUGUGCGAUAAGUAGAGCGGGACACGUGACAUCCUGCUCGAAGAUGGGGGGACCAUCCUCCAAGGCUAAAUACUCGUGAUCGACCGAUAGCGUACCAGUACUGUGAAGGAAAGGUGAAAAGAACCCCGGGAGGGGAGUGAAAUAGAUCCUGAAACCGCAUACAUACAAACAGUAGGAGCCUCGUUAAGGGGUGACUGCGUACCUUUUGCAUAAUGGGUCAGCGACUUACGUUUAAUGGCGAGCUUAACCGUAUAGGGGAGGCGCAGCGAAAGCGAGUUCGAACAGAGCGUUCAGUCGUUAGGCGUAGACCCGAAACCAGAUGAUCUAUCCAUGGCCAGGUUGAAGGUGUGGUAACACACACUGGAGGACCGAACCGACUAGUGUUGCAAAAUUAGCGGAUGAGCUGUGGAUAGGGGUGAAAGGCUAAACAAAUCUGGAGAUAGCUGGUUCUCCCCGAAAACUAUUGAGGUAGUGCCUCGUGUAUGACUCCAGGGGGUAGAGCACUGUUAUGGCUAGGGGGACAUGGCGUCUUACCAAACCAUGGCAAACUCCGAAUACUUGGAAGUUUGAGCACGGGAGACAGAGCACCGGGUGCUAACGUCCGGACUCAAGAGGGAAACAACCCAGACCGCCGGCUAAGGUCCCUAAUAUUGACUAAGUGGAAAACGAAGUGGAAAGGCUAAGACAGUCAGGAAGUUGGCUUAGAAGCAGCCAUCCUUCAAAGAAAGCGUAAUAGCUCACUGAUCGAGUCUUUCUGCGCGGAAGAUGUAACGGGGCUAAGUCAAUAACCGAAGCCGCGGAUUCACACUUGUGUGUGAGUGGUAGGGGAGCGUUCUGUAAGCCUGCGAAGGUGACUCGUAAGGGUUGCUGGAGGUAUCAGAAGUGCGAAUGCUGACAUGAGUAACGUUAAAGCGGGUGAAAAGCCCGCUCGCCGUAAGCCCAAGGUUUCCUGCUCUACGUUCAUCGGAGCAGGGUGAGUCGGCCCCUAAGGUGAGGCUGAGAAGCGUAACUGAUGGGAACAAGGUUAAUAUUCCUUGACCACCGCUGAAUGCGAAGGGGGGACGGAGUAUUGAAGAUCAUCCGGGUGUUGGAUAUCCCGGUUUGCGAGCGUAGGAGGCUGACAGGCAAAUCCGUCAGCGAAUCUCCGAGGCAAAGCAUCGAGCUCUCUUUUGAGCGAAGUGAUUGGAUGUGCUUCCAGGAAAAGCCUCUAAGCUCCAGUUCAGCGGGACCGUACCGCAAACCGACACUGGUGGGCGAGCUGAAUAUGCUCAGGCGCUUGAGAGAACUCAGGAGAAGGAACUCGGCAAAUUGACACCGUAACUUCGGGAUAAGGUGUGCCUUUGUAGCGUGGAGGGAGAAACACCCCGAGCGCGAAGAGGUCUCAGAUAAUCGGUGGCUGCGACUGUUUAUUAAAAACACAGCACUCUGCAAAGACGAAAGUCGACGUAUAGGGUGUGAUGCCUGCCCGGUGCUGGAAGAUUAAUUGAUGGGGUGCAAGCUCCUGAUCGAAGUCCCAGUAAACGGCGGCCGUAACUAUAACGGUCCUAAGGUAGCGAAAUUCCUUGUC
rnacentral:rRNA from 1 species